rnacentral:rRNA from 1 species
GAUGAACGCUGGCGGCGUGCUUAAUACAUGCAAGUCGAACGGACAGAUCAGGAGCUUGCUCCUUUGACGUUAGCCGCGGACGGGAGAGUCACAUGUGGGUACCCUCCCUAUAAGAGUGGUAUAACCCCGGGAAACCGGGGCUUACGCCGGAUAACAUUUAGAACCGUAUGGUUCUAAAGUGAAAGAUGGUUUUGCUAUCUCUGCUAGAUGGACCCGCGCUGUAUUAGCUGGUUGGUACGGUAACGGCCUACCAAGGCAACGAUACGUAGCCGACCUGCGAGGCGGAUCGCCGACACGGGAGGGUGAACGCCGACCAUGCUCCUACGGGAGGCCGCAGUAUCGAAUCGGAGGCAAUGGGGGAGAUCCUGACGGAACGACGGAACGUGAGUGAUGAAAGCCUUCGGUGCGGAAAACUGUGUUAUGGGGGAAAAACAAAUUUGUAAGGAGCUGUGCACGUCGUGACGGUACCUGAUCAGAAAGCCACGGCUAACUACGUG